GUUCAGACGGCCGGCGCUAGCAGCAGGGACCUCAGCCCGGCUCCGGCGCAGGAAGUCAAAGAGCCGCGGAGCUCGAAACGCAGCUCGCUUAUUCAAAUCAGUCUCCUCCUCUCCGGAGCCCGGCUGGGGCCAGCGCCCACCCACCUCCGAGCAGCCCCGGAGAGGCCGAGCCUCCCACGCGGGGAGGGACGGGGUAAACUGAGGCAUGGGGACUUGUGCAAGGUCAGCCGGAGAGCGAUGGAAGGACCCCAGGAAUUCUAGAACCCCUGUGCUGCCAACUGUCAUGAUUUUUUGGCAACCUGUGGAACUCCUUGCCAGAGGAUGUUGUGAAAGCCAAGACUAUAACAGGG